UGUGACUCUGUCCCUGGGAGGCAGGCAAGAGGCCACAACCUGCUCGUAUCGUUAUCUCAUGCUGCGUCACAGGCUACCCCCAGCUGAGAGGCUUGCAGCAAAAGGAACAUUGACUGCCUCCGACGGACCCUGUGGUCGGGACUCAGGAGGGGCUCAGCCGGGCGGCGCUGGCUCAGGGCCCCGCAGGAGGUUGCAGCCAGGAGUCAGCAAGGGCUGCAUCUGCCGCAGGAUCAACCGGGGCGGAGGAGCCACUUCCAAGGCGGCUCACCCGCGUGCCUGGCGGCUGGGCCGGGCUGCUGGGGGGAGGCUCAGCUCCUCACCGAGUGGCUCCUCCAGAGUACUGGCUUCCCCGGCGGGUGACCCAAGGAGAGCAAGGCAGAGCCGCAGCGUCUGUGUGAUGGAGCCUGGAAGUCGUUUCUGCCGUAUCUCGUGGUCCCAGGUGAGGGUCUGAAUACCCGCCUUCAGAGGGAGGCCCAGCCCAAGCUGACUCCGCUCUACCCAUGGACACCUGAGCCCCCAGGGAACUGCAGGUCGGACGACAGGGCUGUGCACAGGCCGCCAGCAGAAGCCCCGAACGUGGCUGC
rnacentral:lncRNA from 1 species